rnacentral:tRNA from 1 species
GGAGAGAUGUCCGAGCGGUUGAAGGAGCACGCCUGGAAAGCGUGUAUACGGUUUAUAACCGUAUCGAGGGUUCGAAUCCCUCUCUCUCCGCCA